GACGAACGCUGGCGGCGUGCUUAACACAUGCAAGUCGAACGGAAAGGCCCUGCUUUUGUGGGGUGCUCGAGUGGCGAACGGGUGAGUAACACGUGAGUAACCUGCCCUUGACUUUGGGAUAACUUCAGGAAACUGGGGCUAAUACCGGAUAGGAGCUCCUGCUGCAUGGUGGGGGUUGGAAAGUUUCGGCGGUUGGGGAUGGACUCGCGGCUUAUCAGCUUGUUUGUGGGGUAGCGGCUUACCAAGGCUUUGACGGGUAGCCGGCCUGAGAGGGUGACCGGCCACAUUGGGACUGAGAUACGGCCCAGACUCCUACGGGAGGCAGCAGUGGGGAAUAUUGCACAAUGGGCGAAAGCCUGAUGCAGCAACGCCGCGUGCGGGAUGACGGCCUUCGGGUUGUAAACCGCUGUCGCCUGUGACGAGGCGUGAGUGACGGUAAUGGGUAAAGAAGCACCGGCUAACUACGUG
rnacentral:rRNA from 1 species